UACAGAGGGUGCGAGCGUUAAUCGGAAUUAUUGGGCGUAAAGCGCGCGUAGGCGGCCACUUAAGUCGGAUGUGAAAGCCCCUGGCUCAACUGGGGAAGUGCACCCGAAACUGAAUGGCUUGAGUGCGAAAGAGGGUCGCGGAAUUCCCGGUGUAGAGGUGAAAUUCGUAGAUAUCGGGAGGAACACCGGUGGCGAAGGCGGCGACCUGGGUCGACACUGACGCUGAGGCGCGAAAGCGUGGGGAGCAAACAGG
rnacentral:rRNA from 1 species